rnacentral:rRNA from 1 species
CCCUUAGAUGUUCUGGGCCGCACGCGCGCUAUACUGAUGCAUUCAACGAGUCUAAAACCUGCUCUGAUAGGGGUGGGUAAUCUUUUGAAUGUGCAUCGUGAUUGGGAUAGAUGAUUGCAAUUUUUCAUCUUCAACGAGGAAUGCCUAGUAAACGCAAGUCAUCAGCUUGCAUUGAUUACGUCCCUGCCCUUUGUACACACCGCCCGUCGCUCCUACCGAUUGAAUGAUCCGAUGAAUAUCAUGGAUUGAGGAUUAUAGCAGGUUCGCCUGUCUUGAUCUUCGAGAAGUGAAGUAAAUCUUAUCAUUUAGAGGAAGGAGAAGUCGUAACA